AUGAGGUUGCGCCCAGGCCUCAACUUCAAUUUCACCGUCAUAGAAUUGGACGGGAUACUUAAGGAAAUAUUCAAGCACGACCCGCAGCAUCCCGAGUGGUUCAGGUUGCCGGCAGGAGUCGUGCCUCUGUGUAACAACUCCUCGCGCGACCGCAUCUGCGCAAUGAUGCUGUUGUGUGACUCGCACGGGAUCGCUCCGACUUGGCAAGAGCCCGCCGGCGACGUCGUGCAGCAGUUCUUCGACAGCCUAGUGGAGGUGGCGGUCAAUGCUGACGAGAAGAAGCUCCUCACCCGCGACACCACUGAUCAAGAGAUGGAGCGCAUCGCCACCAGGGCGGAAGAGGCGGCGGGAGCCGCGGCCGUUGGUGAAUUCGGGUUCACCGUGGAGGAAGCGGACGCGGCGUUGGCGAUGAGCCUUGCCGAACGGGAGCAGCCCGAAGAGGAAGAAGAGCUCGCCGCGCCCGACGCCGAGUCGAACGAGCCCGCCGAGGGUGCGAGCGGCCCGCCAUCUCCGAGGAGCUUGCCGCAAGCAGGGCCCUCAGCGCAGCCCCCAGCGCAGCCAAGAAGGCGCCUCCGCAGGGUCGGCGACGUAGCAGGGCGGCAAGUGGGCCAACAGCCGCAGCGUCGCGCGACGCACUCUAUCGCGGCAAGUACGGUUGCCGCGGGAGCGCCUCCCGCCGCAGCGACAACUAAAGCGGGGCCGUCUCGGGCUGGCGCCGCAGCCCCCGCCAAGCGGUCAAGGGAUCCCACCCCUCCACCUCGUCGCGCUGGAAGUGGGCCGAACUUCGACCUCUCCGCGCUCAGCUCCGAAGAGGAGGAAGAAGAAGAAGAGUAA
rnacentral:rRNA from 1 species